CCUAGCCCGUCCCAUCCUGCGGCUGCGGGAAGGCCUGGGGGUGGCAGAGUGAGAAGCCUGGUCUUUCCAGCCGCACUGCCCUCCGGGUCCACCCUUGUGUGGGCCUGGCCGCUGUGCACUCCCCUGCCUGUCCCGGCACCUGCCCCUCCCCCUUCCUGACCCUGCGUGUCUGUCCUGGGACCCCAUCCUCUCCCAUCCUCCCGAAUAGGAAGUCCCCAGUCGUCAGCCCCCCCAUGGGAAUCCAAAGCUGAGUGACCUGUUGGGCUCUGCUGUGGGCUCAUGGGGCUCCCGCUCGGGGCCUGGCUCUGAGGCUGAGGCCACUGCUGGGACAUCCUCCAGCUCUGCAGGAGCUGAAGCAGGUGACACCAGCCGUCUUGCCAGCACAGGGGUCUCAGGGAGCUCCUGGAUGGGCUCUAGCCGUGAAGCCGGCCCUCCCCGUGUCUCUGGAGCCAGCUGCCUCUGCCGUGGGUCUGGAGCGGGACACAGAGAAAGGGUCACCGUGGGCCUGAUUCCCCGCGCCUUACAAUGACAGAAGAGCCCUCAGUGCCUUGAAGGGAACCCCAGUCCGGGAAGCCCACCCUAGACGGUCCCCUGGCUGCAGCCCCUCACCUUCCAGCACUGCCACCGUGGGCCCCAGGUGCUCCUCCUGGACCAAGUGGUGGAGGACUUGGCCCACCAGGGUGGAUGAAGGCUGGCUGCCGUGGAGGUCGCUGGGCACGCUCUCAGGCUCCCAGGCAAGGCGCCUAGCCCGUCCCAUCCUGCGGCUGGGGUAAGGCCUGGGGGUGGCAGAGUGAGAAGCCUGGUCUUUCCAGCCGCACUGCCCUCCGGGUCCACCCUUGUGUGGGCCUGGCCGCUGUGCACUCCCCUGCCUGUCCAGGCACCUGCCCCUCCCCCUUCCUGACCCUGCGUGUCUGUCCUGGGACCCCAUCCUCUCCCAUCCUCCCGAAUAGGAAGUCCCCAGUCGUCAGCCCACCCAUGGGAACCCAAAGAUGAGUGACCUGCUGGGCUCUGCUGUGCUCCCCCAACCCCAAGCCCCAAACUCCUCCUCCCCCCAUUCUGUGAGAUGGGCAGCACCUCCUCUGGACCCAGUGAACGCUCACAUUUUCAAUUCCCCCUCUGGCCCCUCGUCAUGCCCCCUGUUGCUUGAGGAGGCCGUGACGGCAUCAGUCGUGACACUCCCUGGCCGUGACCUGCGGAUGAUGCCUGAAGUGACUGCCCGAGUCCACCCGGGAUGGGGUCCCAGUAUUGUGUCUGCUUCCUUCACUCAGUUGUGCUAAGUGUCCCCAAAGGGUCUGCACAAAGUGGGCACUGCGUACCUAUUGUUGCUUAAGGAAGUCCUACCAGAACUUCUCCAGGUACCCCUCUCCUGCCCCCAGAGGUCCCUCAUGUGGCGACAGUGAGGACAAGGACCCGGCCCAAACACAGGGAAUCGCGAGCCUCCGUUCCAAAGGCUGCUUCCCAUGUGCUUUUCCAAAUGAGCCAGGCUCCAGGCCACUGACGGGUGAGGCCAAAGGCUUUCAUCGGGUACAGAGAAGUAAGCCCCGAAGUGGCCCAGCUUGGCCGGCAGUCCUUUACCAUGCCGGGCACCAGGGGAACCCCUCUAAGGCUCCUCCCAUGUUCCCCAUGGGCACCCUAACAGGCUGAUCGCCAGCCUCCCUGCCUGUCAGAGGAGCACGCUGAGGCUCAGACACGUGGGGACAUGCAAGACACACCGCGGGCUGUGGGCAGAGGCCCGACUGGCCAAGGAGGGGUUGGGUGCUCACCGGGGGAGCCGCUGGCCCGUGGUCAGCUGGUCAGCAUCAUCGGGUGGGAGUGUGGCCUCGGGAGCGCUCCGGCUGGUGUUUGGAGCUGGUUCCACUCGUGCCUUUCGCUUUCUCCACUUCCUCCUCACACCUAUCCAGGGAUCCCUGCACUUGCGGACCUCAGUCCCAUGGACAGAUGGCUCAGGUUCAGGCUAAGGGGGGAAACAGGGAUAUAGUCAGUGGGAAACCCAGGAAUCACCAGGACGAGGCAGGUUUGCAGCUCACCCGAGAGCCCCCAGCCCCCUGGGGUGCGAGCAAGGAGAGGCACGGGGUGCCCCCGGGAACAAGGUUCCAGGCCCUCUGGAGUGGUCCUGUCAGCCACUCUCGUGGGGAAGCCCUGGGAGGGAAGGGAUCCUGGGUGUAGACAGCCUGCCCCAGGUCCAGGGAGAUGGAGUAGGUGAAUCCAUCCACCAGCUCCUCCACGCUCCCCAGGGUGGAGCUCUGCAAAGCCGGCACCUGGUAGCUGGGGAGGAGGCACCCAUGGUUGCGUGGACCUCCCCACAGGGGGCAAUGUGGGCCCCCAACUCUGCCCCCGAGAUCAGGCCCACAGGGCCAUCUGCAUAGACAUCCAGUCCCUCAGGGAAGAGGAGGACACCCCUGGGCUCAGGAUUAACAUGUGGGUGGAAGUACCUGGUCCCAACACUCACCUCCAUGUCCUGAAUCAUGAGACCAGAGCUGUGACACUGACUGCCCCCUGCUCCCCAGCCUUCAGUCCCACCCAUGCCCCAUGCCCACCGCACACACACAAGGGGCCUGGGGAAACGUCAGCCAGGAUGGGUCACACUCGUGGCCUGGCCCUGGAAUGGCCCGCUCUGGGCUGCCCUGUGUUACCUCGGGGCUCCUCGGGAUACACGGAUAGAGGCGUUGGAGGAGGUCACUGAGCCAACGCCCACAGCGAGCAGGAAGACUCUCCCUCUCGGCUUCCCUGACUCCCUCGCUUUCAGAAGGCUCCGCACAACAAGACCGCAUGUUGCUCUGUCGAGCGCCUCCGGUCAAGUGAGCUGGACUGGGUUCUGCGACCAGGAGCUGGGUUCCAUCCGUCCGGGUCACAAUUGAGGUUCUACUUGGCAUGUCAUCAGUGACAUCACUUCUUCAAGGGCCCCUCCCUGCAUUCAGACACGCCCACGUGCCCCUCUGGGCUGCUGACUGCCCCCCCUCCUGGCCCUUGCCAUGCAUGAGUACACACAUCUCCACCAGAGCCCUCCCCACGCUCUCUGGCAAUGUCACCGGGGUCCCAGCUCUGAGGAGACAAGAGCUGAGCUCAGUCCGCUUUUUCUCACUAGUUCCCUGUCCUGCUGAGGCCACAGCACCUCCCAGGACCUGCCCAACAUCCCAACCUGCACAGGGAGGGUCACGCCAGACAUUUCUCCCUAAGGACAUCCCCAGGGAUACAUGGAUGACACCUCCAGCUCCUGGGGACUGGCGUCACAUGUGUCUGACACACAGACUCAGAGAUGGAAGAAUGCCAACCAGGCUUGGCAUGGAGCGUGGAACACCACGCAGGUCAGGCCGGGGUCCAGGCCGUGUGAUCUUGGGCAAGUCAGUCCCCUUCUAGGCCGUUUUCAGGUGUGCACCUUGAAGGGGCAGCAAUGAGAGGAGAUCCAGGUGUUGCCAUCUACUGCCUUCCACCUUCCACAGGUCCAGGCUGCUCUCAAAUCUGAAAUCCGCACCAGGCGUGUGUGUGUGUUUGGGGUGGUGGUGCAGAUACAGCAUCUUAUUCUUCACCUUAGAAGGGAUAGCUUGGCAUGCCCACAAGAUAGAUUUCUAGUAACUUCUCUAAGAUGAAAGGUCCCUCAAUUUUUGUUGGAUUUAGUCCACCUUCUGACAUGUGACUGCGCUGUCAAUAUGCCUAGAUGAGCUGUACUUCCUGAUCACUGGGUCCAGUCAGCCUAGUACCAUCAAUGGGAUGGGCCAGUGUGACGGCUUCUGGAAGAAAAAGGAGAUGAAGCUUCCUUCUGUCUAAAUGACAACCCAAGUCUGGAGGUCUGAUAUGCCUCUGAGAUAGUUUUCUCUCCUUGCCGGCUGAAAGCUAACUGCCCUGCUGGUCUUUACUCACAGGAAGAGAACAAAGAGCAUUUUCCUGACCAAUACUUACACACUGGGUGCUUGGGGACCAAGUGAUGAAGCCCCAUGUGCAGCAGGAACUGCAGUUUGAGACACUCUGAUUACACUGACAAUCAUUCACUGUCAUCUCCAAGAUUCGUCUGUUUUCUAAGUAGGCUAAAUGAGUGACUUCAAUAAGGGUAUGUGGAAAUCACCACCCGUUCUUCUUUCAAAUCCUUGGUGUCACCAGGCAUUACUGCUUUCAAUGUAUACAGGGAGUUCUAGAGGCUUGUACUUGCCCUGCCACACAGCAUGAACUCCUGGCCGGCACAGUCCCCCGUGUCUAGCAAGGAGGAAGCCGGGAGCUCUGCGUCCCUGACAGCUCGGCCCUGUGGCCUCUGACACUGAAGGAGCGGCACUGCGGGCACUUGGUCGGGGUGGGGGGUGCUGCUCCUGAUACCAAGACCCGGUCCUCGUCCCUGAGGUCAAACCACAAAACACAAUGACAAGGGUUUGAAGAAAGGAAAGAAUAGUUUAUUGACUUGCUAGCAAAUGAGGGAGUGGCCAGCUCCUGCCUUGAAGAACCACCGUCCUCCUGACACAAGCGGUCAGGGCUUUUCAAGGGGAAAUGGUAGGAGAGGGGCUGGGGUGCCGACACAUGAAGUAGCAGCCUGCAAAGGUCCAAGCAGACAUUCCUCCUCCGAUUCACUAGCUUUGUGUUUUUCUUUUCUGAUGCUCCUCAGUUCCCGGGGACUGGAUGCUUGGGGUUGAACAAAAUCAGCUUUCAGCUUUAACUCUGACCCUCAGACUAGGAAAAUCUGAAGAACAAGAAGAAACUGCCACCCCAUCCACCUCUGCCCAUUAGUGGACAAAGUUUCUGGGGCUGUUUGAGUUCACUUUCUAGUAAAUGUUAGUGUUCAGUUUUGAACAAAGAUUUGAUUCCCCUUUUCUUCUAUUACAAAUUCAUUUCUUACUGUUACAUUCCUUAACAGCAGCCCAAAAACUGAUCAUGAAAUGCCUUGAGGGAGAGUUUCUGACUAUUACCUGAAGAUAGGCACAAGUUGAAAAACACAGCUCUAAGCGUUUCUUGGAAUAUCAGUGCUGGCUGAUAAGACAGGAACUGCCAUCUGCGGUUCAGAUUUCCAGUGGACUUGGCUUAUGUGUUCAAAUUCUGCAAAUGUUGCUGUUAGAAUCAGCAAGGGGCUGUCUCCUUGCAAGUGCUUGGAGCUGACAGCCUUGCAUUUAAUACUCGCAUGCAGAAUUUUCUCAAGAGCCCCUCCCCCACUUCUAGCACAUGAAGAAGUUGGGGAAAUGAGAAGAGGGGGCCCACAGAUGCCUUUAUGUCCAGACCCACUGCCCCACUCCCUCCACAGAGGCCUCAGGAGCCAAGGGGGCAGUGCUUGCAAGCCUAGGGCCUCCACUUUGCCUUCCAGGCUGCUCCCCCUGCUGCUGCUGCUGCUGCUGUUGCUAAGCUUGUUAGCACUUUCAGAAACUUAGGAGAGAAACACAAGCGCAACUUGGGCCUCACUGAGGUUUCGGUUCAGUGAACAGGCCCAGCACCCUCCUGGCGACCCAGGUGUGCCUGCUUCCGGGAGCGCCUUCCUUAUACACUGGAGGGCGGGACCAGGCCAGGUGGGGUGGGGCUCCAUUCCCCAGAGUUUCUGUGUUGGGAAGGGGACAGAGGUCGGGCCAGGGCCUCCCGUCCUCCUGUGGCCAGUGGGUGGGAACCCGCUUUCCGAUGAACAGCUGUUCCGAUCCGUGUAUGGCUUGUUAGAGGUAAAACUUAUUUUUUCUAGGUAUUGGAAGAGCCUUUUGCCAUAUAUAUUAUAUACAUACAUCCUCCGUCGGACCUGGAGAUGGGGCUGAGGGAAGCGGGCAGUGAAUGGGAUUUUUUUUUUUCCUGUCAGAAAACGUGACAGGACAUGCUUAAAUAUAGCAUUACCUGGCAAAAAAAUAUCAUCCUUCCGUCCGGAUUCUACCUUUUUCAGUGAAUGGAUGUCAGCCAGAGGGGAGGAAGGGUCUCCGGUUUCGGGUUCCCACCCAGCGCCUGCAGGCAUCCUCCCCUCCGCGCACAGCCUCAAGGGCCCCCCUGGGCUUCCCGACACUAAAGCGGCCUCGUCCCGUGGGGGCAUCAGGCUUAGACCCUCUGUGCCUGCUGCUUUCAAGUCAAGGCGGAAGACUUGGGUGUGGAGUUCACGUGGCCACUAGGAGUUCGUGGCUACUCGGAAAGCGCGUGUCUCCGCAGCCCAGGAUCACCCCCGACAAAAGCCGAUUGUGCCAAGGCAUUCCUCAAAUGAAAAGGGAAAUUAAUGAUUCCUUCUGUUAGAAUCCCUUUCCAUCCUAAAAACGGCAUUUUUGCAUACUUAUUCGUACAUUUCCUUAAUAGCCCUCGCAUAGAGAUGUGUACAGGUGCGAGGAGAGCAGUGAUUGUCCAAACCCUUAAAGAGCCCAACAGUGGCUCCUGCACUCAGACUCUUAGUAAUCACUCCUGGCUGGUGCUGGGGUGACUGUGACAGUGGUGACAGCGUUCACACGAAUAGCAUGUUCAACAGCAUGGGUCCUCUGAGACCUCUGGCAAUUUUAUGUAUCACCUCACUUUGCCACUCGCCACAUUUUGCCUUGUGUUGUAGUUAUUUCUAAACAAAUGCUUGAGUAGGAGGAUUGUGUUUACUUAUUUCCAUUUACUCCAUGAGGGAGAGCACUAGGUUCAUGUAUAUUAAUUAGUAAGUGCUUUAGGGUAUGUAUGUAAUUGAAAAUCUGUACACCUGAAACUCAUGUAUCAACUAUAUCUCGAUUUUAAAACAAGAAAGAAAUUGGUGGUAAUGGUUGUUCAGUAACUGCUUUUCUUAGAACCAUAUAGAAGUGCUUGGCCUGCUUGGCCGUGGCCAAGAAUGUUUGACCACCUUGGUGCAAACUGCCUAGCUUAUUGCAGUAAUUUCCUAACUGGUUCCACCAAGUCUUUUCUUGCCACUCUUGAACAGAAUUUCUU